rnacentral:rRNA from 1 species
GACGAACGCUGGCGGCGUGCUUAACACAUGCAAGUCGAACGGAAAGGCCCUGCUUGCAGGGUACUCGAGUGGCGAACGGGUGAGUAACACGUGGGUGAUCUGCCCUGCACUUCGGGAUAAGCCUGGGAAACUGGGUCUAAUACCUGAUAGGAGCCAUUUUUAGUGUGAUGGUUGGAAAGUUUUUUCGGUGUAGGAUGAGCUCGCGGCCUAUCAGCUUGUUGGUGGGGUAAUGGCCUACCAAGGCGGCGACGGGUAGCCGGCCUGAGAGGGUGGACGGCCACAUUGGGACUGAGAUACGGCCCAGACUCCUACGGGAGGCAGCAGUGGGGAAUAUUGCACAAUGGGCGCAAGCCUGAUGCAGCGACGCCGCGUGGGGGAUGACGGCCUUCGGGUUGUAAACUCCUUUCGCUAGGGACGAAGCUUUUUGUGACGGUACCUAGAUAAGAAGCACCGGCUAACUACGUG